AUUGGUUGAAGACGGAAGGAGGAAUGAAGGAAACAAUUAGAUGAAUCCAAUAUAAUACGUCUGUAAAUAAACAGAUGUAGGGAAUCAGAGUAUUGUUACUCCUGGGGGCGCAGCGCCACACUCAGCACAACUCCCCCGCUAUUUUUCAAAACCCAGGUACUACCAGCCAAGUUCUUACCAUGCAACAUGCGAGUUGAAUAGCAACUAGCCUUGAAUUAGCCUCAGAGGUAAUAACUUACUUCCGGGUCUGUCCUGUCCCUGGUUUGAUCCGAGGUGUUUCCGACAGCGUGUUUUUGGGGUUGUUGUCUUUUAUGUCCCUUAACUCAGAAGUUUUCAAAAUAAAAGUGUUUCCUAAGCUUCUCUUUUUUUCCAGUUGUAGUUUGAUACUCUGAGAGUCCCAGGAUUUCCCCACAGACGAUAUAAAGUAGGCUACAGCAUUACUAUACGUUGACUUUGUAUGGAGUCGAACGCGCCCGUCGCCUGGAACGCGUCUAUACGUUGACUUUGUAUGGAAGUUGCGCCGCCCCUUCGCUUUUGGUGUGAACGCGCCAUUACUUUAGUUUCGCCAGAGCCCGUCUCAUAUUAGACAUUCUCUGGUUUCACUGGAAUUUCACAUAAACGAUGUGACGCAGUUAGCUGUGAUUCAAAGCUCUUCCUCUUUCUGAUCUGUCUGCCAUAAGGACCCAAGCAGCCCAAUCUUUACUCUCAGAACCUUUGUUAAUGUCCUGUCUCGCUUCUAAACACUUCUCUGUUAUUUGGUGAACACCUAAAUCUCUUUAUUCUCUCCUUUCCUUGCAUUUGUUAUUCUAUAUUUCCAUUCAACACGGGCAGCACACGUUUCGUCACGGAAAAGAUAAGGUCUCCAGUCUACUAUGGAUGAGGAGAGAGAGGAGGGGGCUCCUACCUCUAAAACCACCCUGUCUGGGGAACAUGGCCGCCAGAACAAAGCUAAGAGCCCAGAGCAGCGGGAGAGAGCAGACUCCCCUGGACCCAGCUGUGUCUCCUUGAAGAGUGACUGGUCUAUGGAU